rnacentral:rRNA from 1 species
UACGGAGGAUGCAAGCGUUAUUCGGAAUUAUUGGGCGUAAAGCGUCCGCAGGUGGCACUUCAAGUCUGCUGUCAAAGACAGAAGCUUAACUUCUGGUCGGCAGUGGAAACUGAAGAGCUAGAGUACGGUAGGGGCAGAGGGAAUUUCCAGUGUAGCGGUGAAAUGCGUAGAGAUUGGAAAGAACACCAGUGGCGAAGGCGCUCUGCUGGGCCUGUACUGACACUGAGGGACGAAAGCUAGGGGAGCGAAAGGG